CCAAGGAGUCUAACAUGUGCGCGAGUCUUCGGGUCAAGUUAAACCUUGCGAAGGCGAAAUGAAAGUGAAUACUGGCCGAGGUAGAUGAAAUGCUCCUCGUUUUGCCGAGGGAGGAUCCCGUCCUCCAUCGUGAGGAUCGGGCGCACUCCCGGGGCGUCGUACGUCCGCGUUGACGGUCUGACGAACCAAGAGCGCACACGUUGGGACCCGAAAGAUGGUGACCUAUGCCUGGCCAGGACGAAGCCAGGGGAAACCCUGGUGGAGGUCCGCAGCGAUUCUGACGUGCAAAUCGAUCGUCGGAGUUGGGUAUAGGGGCGAAAGACUAAUCGAACCAUCUAGUAGCUGGUUCCCCCCGAAGUUUCCCUCAGGAUAGCUGGUGCUCGAAAUAACGGAGUUUCAUCCGGUAAAGCGAAUGAUUAGAGGCCUUGGGGUCGAAACGACCUCAACCUAUUCUCAAACUUUCAAUGGGUGAGAAGCUGGGCUUUCUUAACAAACGAAGCCUCGGCACGUUAACUGAAUCCGAGCGCCCAGUGGGCCAUUUUUGGUAAGCAGAACUGGCGCUGUGGGAUGAACCAAACGUCCGGUUAAGGCGCCUAAAAUUGUCGACGCACAUUUCGGAUCCCACGAAAAGGAGUUGGUUGCUAAAGACAGCAGGACGGUGGCCAUGGAGGUCGGAAUCCGCUCAGGAGUGUGUAACAACUCACCUGCCGAAGCAACUAGCCCUUAAAAUGGGAGGCGCUAUAGCGUCGUGCCUAUACCGGACCACCGGAGAUUACAAAAGGCAGAGCUAUCAUCUUUACGUUUUUUAACGUGAAGAUGCUGAUGCCCCGGUGAGUAGGGGGGUCGCGAUGGUGUGCCUAGAAGGGUCUGGGCGCGAGCCUGCCCGGAGCCACCAUCGGUGCAGAUCUUGGUGGUAGUAGCAAAUACUCCAGAGG
rnacentral:rRNA from 1 species